rnacentral:lncRNA from 1 species
AAUCAAAGGGGUUAUAGUGAAUUCCCAAGAGAGACUUGGGGAGUGGACGUAGGAGCAAGGGUUAGCUCCGAACCACUAUAAAAGCUUUGUGUUUGUGAUUGCUUGUCUCUUACCAUUACUCUCAUUUCAUACACAUCACAGCAACUAAUUAAUCAUCUUGUAAAAAGCAUUAAUUAGUCACCCACAAACGCUUUAAUAGUUAAAAUUAUUUUAAAACCCAAUUCACCCCCCCUCUUGGGUUGUCUAUCUGGGCAACA